rnacentral:snRNA from 1 species
GUGCUCACUUUGGCAGCAUAUAUACUAAAAUUGGAACAAUACAGAGAAAAUUAGCAUGACCCCUGAACAAGGAUGAGACACAAAUUUGUGAAGUGUUCCAUAUUUUU